GGAGACGUGGGCUGGAGGGACGCGGAGCAGGGCCGUGCUUCCUGAACCCUCUCGACCCCUUCCUUCCUCCCCGCCCGCCUCGCAGGCAAUGAGAGUGACUACGAGCCUAACGGGGCCGAGUGCUACAGCUGCGUGGGGCUGAGCCGCAAGGAGUGCCAGGGUACGGCGCCGCCCGUCGUGAGGUGCUACAACGCCAGCGACCACGUCUACAGGGGCUGUUUCGACGGCAACGUCACCUUGACGGCAGGAACGCCCUGGAACGCUCCACUCGCCCAGCCGGGCCUUCUCCUUCUGGUCGCUCCGAGGCACGGAAGGCGGGGCCUGCUUCACGGGACAGAUCACUCGAAGCCCCGUUGGUUGAUACGAAAGCGUCUGAUGAGCUCAUUGGAUGAGCCUGGAGGAACGCCACACCCCAUUGGCCUAUCCCUGGCUGCCUUGCCAGUUGCAAGAAGGCAGAUGCGAUGGGAUCUACAGCACCUAAAAUAGUGCCUGGCACACAACGGGCAGCUCAUUAGACCUUGAGUGAAGUCACUGAGGUUACUCUGUGCCAGCUCUCUCAGCCCUUUGCCUGGAGUACCGGAUACAGCCUAGCAACUACCCAGCAGGGCUGCCCUAACUUGGCCAGGCCCAGCAUCGUUUAAAACACCCACCAGUGGAUUCCUGUCCUAUAGGAAUGUCCCCUGGACCACGCACCCUCUGUCUCCCCUUGAGCUGGACAUCUUACUGGCACCCUCACCUGAAGCGCCUACUGGGAGAAUCCCUGACGUCACACCUGCCUGAGAAGAAGAAACAGGGAAGGAUAAAAGUCCAACACUGCAGCGGCAGGACUAACAUCUUAGCGUUUACAGCACUGUGGAGAAAGCCGUCUUUCCUAGAAGCCACCAAGCAACGUACACCCACAGUGGUUUGAGCUGAGAAUGCACUCACCUUCAUCAAUAACAUCAGUUGUCAGGCCAAAAUCUUUCAAGAUAAUUCCACUUGACCUCACUUUAAUUGAAGUAAUAUAGAAAUGGAAUUGUUGAGUCACAUGGUAGGCAUAUGCUUAAGGUUUUAAGAAACUGCCAGACUGUUUUCCAGAGGGGUUGUGCCAUUUUACAUUCCCCACCAGCAGUGUGUGAGAGGUUCCAGUUUCUCCACAUACUUGCCAAUACUUGGUAUAGUCAAUCUUUUCCCUUUUAGCCAUUCUAAGAGUUCCGUGGUGGUAUCUCAUUGUAUUUUUUUCAUUGUAGCUUUAUUUUGUAUUUUUCUAGUGACUAAUGCUAUCGAGCAUCUUUCCAUGUGCUUAUUCACCAUCCGUGUAUCUUCGUUGGUGAAGUGCCUGUUCAAAUAUUUUGCCCAUUUUUUUAUUGUCUUCUUAUUGAGUUGUAAGCACUUUGUAUAUUCUAGUUGCAAGUCCUUUGUUAAAUAGAUGUUUUGCAAUAGCUUUCCCAGAAAUAAAGGCAUAUGAGGCAUAUGUCCAAAUAAAGACACAUGAAGACAUAUGAAUGUUAAUAGUAGCGUUAUUUGUAAUAGCCCCAAACUGGGAAACAAUGCAACCAAACUGUGAUAUAACCACACCAUGAAAUAUUACUCAGCCAUAAAUAGGAAUGAGCUAUUGAUACAUGCAAAAAUUUGAAUAUGAACUUCAAAAUGAUUCUGCCUAGCGUAUUUAUGAGGUUCAUCCAUGUUGUAGCAUGUAUCCGUACAUCAUUCUUUUUUGUGAUUGAAUAAUAUUCCAAUGUAUGUUUAUACCAGAAUUUGUUUAUCCAUUGACCCAUUGAUAGACAUUUGGGCCAUUUCCACGUUUUGGCUAUUGUGAAUAGUGCUGCUAUAACAUGUGUACAUGUAUUUGUUUGAGUAAGAGCUUUCAAUUUUUUUGAGUAUAUACCUAGGAGUGGAAGAAGCCAGACACAAAAAGUCACAUAUUGUAUGAUUCAUUUAUAUGAAAUAUUCAGAAUAAGUAAAUCCAUAGAGACAUAAUUGGUGGUUUCCAGGGGUUGGGGGAUGGGGGAAUGGAGAGCAACCUCGUAAUGGGUACAGAGUUUUAUUUGGAAGUGAUGAAAAUGUUUUAGAACUAGAUAGAGGUGGUGGUCAUACAACAUUGCGACUGCAUUAAAUGCCACGGAAUUGUUCACUUUAAGAUGGUUUAUUUUAUGUUAUGUGAAUUUCAUCUCAAUAAAAAAAUUAUACUGAAUGCAAGAAGCCAGAUGAAAAAAGAGAACAUACGAUAACAUUCCAUUUAUAUAAAUUCUAGAAAGUGCAAACUAAUCUACUGUAAGUGAAAGAAGGUAAAUGGUUGCCUGGGUACUGUGGGGGUGGGGCCGAGUGCAGAGGGAGGGAUUACAAAGGCUCAUGUGGAAACUUUUGGGUGGAAUGGAUACGUUCACCGUCUCAACUGUGGUGAUGACCUUAUGGAGUGUGUAUGCACAUCAGAACUCAUUAAACUGUGUACCUUAAA